GCUCAUUUUGGCAGCACAAACUAAAAAUGGAAAGAUAGAAAGAAGAUCAGCAUGCCUGCUCAGGACUAGGAGAAACCUGGAAAUAUAUCAUCUGUCU